rnacentral:rRNA from 1 species
UACAGAGGCCCCAAGCAUUACCCGGAAUCAUUGGGCGUAAAGGGUGUCUAGGCGGUCAUGUUAGUCUUUCGUUAAAUCCAGGAGCUCAACUUCUGGCCUGCGAGAGAAACGGCAUGACUAGAGGUCAGGAGAGGUGCGUGGAACUCACGGUGUAGGGGUGAAAUCCGUUGAUAUCGUGGGGAACACCAAAGGCGAAGGCAGCGCACUGGCCUGAAUCUGACGCUAAAGCACGAAAGCUAGGGUAGCGAACGGG